ensembl:lncRNA
UGUAAGUGUGUGUGUGAGCAUUGACACAGACGCAUUUGGUGUGUGUUUGAGUGUGUGUGUGAGCAUUGACACAGACUUAUUUGGUGUGUGUGUGAGCAUUGACACAGACUCAUUUCAAACAGAGCAGUAGCCAUGUCAACACUUCAAGACUGAUUUCAUUCACAACCUUAUGCAGCUACCUAACGCUACUCAGAGUCAUUUAUUAUCUAUUAUUAUUUAUAAUCAUAAUAAUAGUAAUAAUAAUCAUAAUAAUAGCACUCCUUUGUUGUCUUAUAUGUGAUAAAGGUGACUCACUUCUGCUUUAAAACGAUAUAACUUAUUAUGUGAUAACCUAAGUUAAUAUGUGAUUAUAAAAAUAUGUGAUAAGUUAAGAUGUGAUAAUGAAGGAGACUCUGAUAAAUCACUUCAUGGAGAACCUCAGUAAGUGAGUGUGACUUUUGAGCACUUCAGAGUGUAUAACAUUUGAGCACUUCAGAGAGUGUGUGACUUUUGAGCACUUAAGUGAGUGACUUUUGAGCACUUCAGAGUGUAUAACAUGAGCACUUCAGUGAGUGUGACUUUUGAGCACUUCAGAGUGUAUAACAUUUGAGCACUUCAGAGAGUGUGUGACUUUUGAGCACUUCAGAGUGUAUAACAUUUGAGCACUUCAGUGAGUGUGUGACUUUUGAGCACUUCAGAGUGUGUGACUUUUGAGCACUUCAGAGUGUAUGACUUUUGAGCACUUCAGUGAGUGUGUGACUUUUGAGCACUUCAGAGUGUAUGACAUUUGAGCACUUCAAUGAGUAUGUGACUUUUGCAAAGCAACUCUUUCCCUCCCUGUGGGGCAGUUCAGGUCCCGGUGCAUGUUUGUGUGUGUGUGUGUGUGGCAGGUGUCCGCCGUGUAAAACACACUUUAGUGGACUUAUCAGAACUGUUUACAGGGUCUUUAGCUAGUUGCUUUAGAAGUGUCAGAGAUGUUCUGUUGAAGUGUGCAGUGGUCAGAGGCGCUCUGUUGAAGUGUGCAGUUGUCAGAGGCGUUCUGUUGAAGUGUGCAGUGGUCUCCCAGUGGUCAGAGGCUCUCUGUUGAAGUGUGCAGUGGUCAGAGGCGCUCUGUUGAAGUGUGCAGUGGUCUCCCAGUGUCAGAUCUGUUCUGUUGAAGUGUGCAGUGGUCUCCCAGUGAG